rnacentral:rRNA from 1 species
GAUGAACGCUGGCGGCGCGCCUAACACAUGCAAGUCGAACGAUUAAAGCACCUUCGGGUGUGUAUAAAGUGGCGAACGGCUGAGUAACACGUGUGCAACCUGCCCCUCUCAUUGGGAUAGCCACGGGAAACCGUGGAUAAUACCGAAUACUUCGGGACUUCCGCAUGGAAGACUCGAGAAAGCUCCGGCGGAGAGGGAUGGGCCCGCGGCCUGUUAGCUUGUUGGUGGGGUAAUGGCCUACCAAGGCAAUGAUGGGUAGCUGGGUUGAGAGACCGACCAGCCAGAUUGGGACUGAGACACGGCCCAGACUCCUACGGGAGGCAGCAGUGGGGAAUCUUGCACAAUGGGCGAAAGCCUGAUGCAGCGACGCCGCGUGCGGGAUGAAGGCCUUCGGGUUGUAAACCGCUUUCAGCAGGGACGAGGCGAAAGUGACGGUACCUGCAGAAGAAGCCCCGGCUAACUACGUG